AGUAACGCGUGGGUAACCUGCCUCAUACAGGGGGAUAACGAUUGGAAACGAUUGCUAAUACCGCAUAAGCGCACAGUACCACAUGGUGCAGUGUGAAAAACUCCGGUGGUAUGAGAUGGACCCGCGUCUGAUUAGCUAGUUGGUGAGGUAACGGCCCACCAAGGCAACGAUCAGUAGCCGACCUGAGAGGGUGACCGGCCACAUUGGGACUGAGACACGGCCCAG
rnacentral:rRNA from 1 species